GCUAUGAGUGGCUAGUUUAUUUAAGCUUAGUUUGACACUUAUGAAACCGGGCACAAGUGAUAUGAAAUCUAUUUUGUUCCAAAAUCGAAUUUGGCACUCUUGAAUUGUUUGAUUUUAUCUUCCAAGGAAUUUUUCUAAUUCAAUUGGAGUGAUCACCUAAUUAAUUUAGGAAUUUUUCUUAUAAUCAUUUAAGUGCAAAUUGAGAAAUUGAAUUUCUCAAUUAUACUUAGAAUUAGUGAUAAUUAAUUGGCCGCAGCUAAUUAAGACAACUUCGGAUUUAAUCUUAGAAGCUGCUGGAGGAUUUUCUUUGGUUAAGGCAAGGCGAAGUCUCUAAAACUCUAGAAUUCCUUUAACAAAGUCGACAUAAAGAUAAUUAAAGGAAGAUUUCAAUCAUGAACGUUCUCUAAUUGAAUAAUUUACUAGGGAUAAGAAAUUGCUUCGUAAGUGAUUUUUUCAGCCUUGCUACUAAUUUGAUUUCUUAGCUUAAUUUCAGGUUUCAAAGGACUUGUGCUGGGUGGAUUAAGGCGUCAAAUACUAAGCAUUAUUCUUCUCUUGAUAUUUUC
rnacentral:lncRNA from 1 species